UAGGGAAUCUUCCGCAAUGGGCGAAAGCCUGACGGAGCAACGCCGCGUGAGUGAUGAAGGUCUUCGGAUCGUAAAACUCUGUUAUUAGGGAAGAACAAAUGUGUAAGUAACUAUGCACGUCUUGACGGUACCUAAUCAGAAAGCCACGGCUAACUACGUGCCAGCAGCCGCGGUAAUACGUAGGUGGCAAGCGUUAUCCGGAAUUAUUGGGCGUAAAGCGCGCGUAGGCGGUUUUUUAAGUCUGAUGUGAAAGCCCACGGCUCAACCGUGGAGGGUCAUUGGAAACUGGAAAACGUGAGUGCAGGAGAGGAAAGUGGAAUUCCAUGUGUAGCGGUGAAAUGCGCAGAGAUAUGGAGGAACACCAGUGGCGAAGGCGACUUUUUGGUCUGUAACUGACGCUGAUGUGCGAAAGCGUGGGGAUCAAACAGG
rnacentral:rRNA from 1 species